GCCUUCGUGGUGUAGCAGUCAGCACGUUCGUCUCGUAACCGAGAGAUCCGUGGUUUGAUUCCCGGCGACGGCG
rfam:Stegodyphus mimosarum contig70838, whole genome shotgun sequence.